rnacentral:rRNA from 1 species
AGUGAACGCUGGCGGUAGGCCUAACACAUGCAAGUCGAACGGCAGCACAGUAAGAGCUUGCUCUUACGGGUGGCGAGUGGCGGACGGGUGAGGAAUACAUCGGAAUCUACUUUUUCGUGGGGGAUAACGUAGGGAAACUUACGCUAAUACCGCAUACGACCUACGGGUGAAAGCAGGGGAUCUUCGGACCUUGCGCGAUUGAAUGAGCCGAUGUCGGAUUAGCUAGUUGGCGGGGUAAAGGCCCACCAAGGCGACGAUCCGUAGCUGGUCUGAGAGGAUGAUCAGCCACACUGGAACUGAGACACGGUCCAGACUCCUACGGGAGGCAGCAGUGGGGAAUAUUGGACAAUGGGCGCAAGCCUGAUCCAGCCAUACCGCGUGGGUGAAGAAGGACUUCGGGUUGUAAAGCCAUUUUGGUGGGAAAGAAAAGCAGCAGGUUAAUACCCCGCUGUUCUGACGGUACCCAAAGAAUAAGCACCGGCUAACUUCGUG